AAUCAACGCUGGCGGCGCGCCUAACACAUGCAAGUCGCACGAGAAAGCGGGGGCAACUCCGUGAGUAAAGUGGCGGACGGGUGAGUAACACGUGGGCCAUUUACCUCUUGGCGGGGAAUAACCCUGGGAAACCGGGGCUAAUACCGCAUAAGCCCGAAAGGGGAAAGCAGCAAUGCACCGAGAGAGAAGCCCGCGGCCGAUUAGCUAGUUGGUGAGGUAACGGCCCACCAAGGCAAUGAUCGGUAGCCGGCCUGAGAGGGCACACGGCCACACUGGCACUGAAAUACGGGCCAGACUCCUACGGGAGGCAGCAGUGGGGAAUCUUGCACAAUGGGGGAAACCCUGAUGCAGCGACGCCGCGUGAGCGAUGAAGCCCUUCGGGGUGUAAAGCUCUUUCGGCAGGAACGAUUAUGACGGUACCUGCAGAAGAAGCUGCGGCUAACUACGUG
rnacentral:rRNA from 1 species